rnacentral:rRNA from 1 species
UUUGAUCCUGGCUCAGAUUGAACGCUGGCGGCAGGCCUAACACAUGCAAGUCGAGCGGCAGCGGGAAAGUAGCUUGCUACUUUUGCCGGCGAGCGGCGGACGGGUGAGUAAUGCCUGGGGAUCUGCCCAGUCGAGGGGGAUAACUACUGGAAACGGUAGCUAAUACCGCAUACGCCCUACGGGGGAAAGCAGGGGACCUUCGGGCCUUGCGCGAUUGGAUGAACCCAGGUGGGAUUAGCUAGUUGGUGAGGUAAUGGCUCACCAAGGCGACGAUCCCUAGCUGGUCUGAGAGGAUGAUCAGCCACACUGGAACUGAGACACGGUCCAGACUCCUACGGGAGGCAGCAGUGGGGAAUAUUGCACAAUGGGGGAAACCCUGAUGCAGCCAUGCCGCGUGUGUGAAGAAGGCCUUCGGGUUGUAAAGCACUUUCAGCGAGGAGGAAAGGUUGGUAGCGUAAUAACUGCCAGCUGUGACGUACUCGCAGAAGAAGCACCGCUAACUCC